UACGUAGGGGCCUAGCGUUGUCCGGAAUUACUGGGCGUAAAGCGCACGUAGGCGGCUUUGUAAGUUAGAGGUGAAAGCCCGGGGCUCAACUCCGGAAUUGCCUUUAAGACUGCAUCGCUAGAAUUGUGGAGAGGUAAGUGGAAUUCCGAGUGUAGAGGUGAAAUUCGUAGAUAUUCGGAAGAACACCAGUGGCGAAGGCGACUUACUGGACACAUAUUGACGCUGAGGUGCGAAAGCGUGGGGAGCAAACAGG
rnacentral:rRNA from 1 species